CACGUAGGGCGCAAGCGUUGUCCGGAAUUAUUGGGCGUAAAGAGCUCGUAGGCGGCCUGUUGCGUCUGCUGUGAAAACUCGGGGCUUAACCCCGAGCCUGCAGUGGAUACGGGCAGACUAGAGGUAGGUAGGGGAGACUGGAAUUCCUGGUGUAGCGGUGAAAUGCGCAGAUAUCAGGAGGAACACCGAUGGCGAAGGCAGGUCUCUGGGCCACUACUGACGCUGAGAAGCGAAAGCAUGGGGAGCGAACAGG
rnacentral:rRNA from 1 species